ACUUUAAUUGAAGAGUUUGAUCAUGGCUCAGAUUGAACGCUGGCGGCAGGCCUAACACAUGCAAGUCGAGCGGUAACAUUUCAAAAGCUUGCUUUUGAAGAUGACGAGCGGCGGACGGGUGAGUAAUGCCUGGGAAUUUGCCCAUUUGUGGGGGAUAACAGUUGGAAACGACUGCUAAUACCGCAUACGCCCUACGGG
rnacentral:rRNA from 1 species